rnacentral:tRNA from 1 species
AAAAAUCCGUUGGCUUUAUUGACCGUGAGGGUUCAAGUCCCUCUACCCCC